AGAUGGCUAGGGAAUGCCACACUCCGGGAACAAUAUCCGGCUCUAUACAACAUUGUGCGCCACAAGGGUGAUACUAUCGCCACGGUAAUGGAAUCAUUUCCGCCUGUGACGUUCAGAAGAGAUUUAAUUGGACCUAGACUCCAAUCGUGGAACAUCCUACUCCAGCGGUUGUCCACGGUGCACCUGUCACAUGGGUAUGAUGUAUUUCGGUGGAACCUUCAUGGGAAUGGAAAAUUCUCAGUGGAUUCCAUGGAUAGAGCGCUAAUCCACUCUGAUGUGCCAAUUGAUAAUAAAGAUAACCUUAAGAUCUAG
rnacentral:rRNA from 1 species